rnacentral:rRNA from 1 species
AGAGUUUGAUCCUGGCUCAGAAUCAACGCUGGCGGCGCGCCUAACACAUGCAAGUCGAACGAGAAAGUGGAGCAAUCCAUGAGUACAGUGGCGUACGGGUGAGUAACACGUGGGUAAUCUACCUCUUAGUGUGGAAUAACCCUGGGAAACCGGGGCUAAUACCGCAUAAGCUCGAGAGAGGAAAGCAGCAAUGCGCUGAGAGAGGAGCCCGCGGCCGAUUAGCUUGUUGGCAGGGUAAAAGCCUACCAAGGCAAAGAUCGGUAGCCGGCCUGAGAGGGCACACGGCCACACUGGCACUGAAACACGGGCCAGACUCCUACGGGAGGCAGCAGUGGGGAAUCUUGCACAAUGGGGGAAACCCUGAUGCAGCAACGCCGCGUGAGCGAUGAAGCCCUUCGGGGUGUAAAGCUCUUUCGGCAGGGAAGAUUAUGACGGUACCUGCAGAAGCAGCUGCGGCUAACUACGUGCCAGCAGCCGCGGUAAUACGUAGGCAGCAAGCGUUGUUCGGAGUUACUGGGCGUAAAGGGUGUGUAGGCGGUUCUCUAAGUUUGGUGUGAAAUCUCCCGGCUCAACUGGGAGGGUGCGCCGAAUACUGAAGGACUAGAGUACGGGAGAGGAGAGUGGAAUUCCUGGUGUAGCGGUGAAAUGCGUAGAUAUCAGGAGGAACACCGGUGGUGUAGACGGCUCUCUGGACCGUAACUGACGCUGAGACACG